CUAUUUAGUCCUUAUUUAGUCCUGGAAAAAGGAAACGAGGAAGACCGAAAGAAACAUGGAGGAGGACAGUAGAGAAGGAAAUUCGAGAGGGCAGUCUGAGCUGGGGGCUGCUGGAGAAGUUGGCAAAAGACAGGACAACAGUGGCGAUCUCUGGUUACAGCCUUAUGUGCUUCUUAGCACGAAGGGGAUUAAAGUAAGUCGACAACCUCUGCACUGACAGACAUGAUGACAUCCAUUCCCGAAGUACUUAAAGGCAUCGGCCAUUAUGUGAUGUGGAAGUAGAUAUAUUGUAUUUCCUACACUUGUUUGAAUAAAAAAAGAAAUUAUCCAGAUAAGAUUUUGUUAUAUAUUGAGAUAAUGUCAGUGGGGUUAUGUCAGAGUGGGGUUUUUUUUCAUCACCAAAGACACAACAAUUACAACAAAAAUACCACAAAGCUGGAAGGUGUAAUUAAACAAAUGAUGUCAAGAGAUGAACGAGGAAGAGGUAAAACCUAUGUUUAAAAGAAUGCAGGUCUUGUAGUCCCGACGUGUCCACUCCCAACAUCAGGAUCUAGUCAACAGGUGUCUUGUUAUACCACUUUAAAUAUUGUUUCACCAGUUUCCUACACAUCGACUGGCGAGAAGACCAUGAGCCGAAUUUACAAAGCCUGCACGUGCGCAACUACAUACAAUGGGCUCAAUGGGUAGGUGUAAGACCACUACACCCUCUUCUCUCUCACUAACCACUAACAAACUAACAACUAACCCAAUGUCCUGGACAGACAGCCCAGAUAACCGAGGUGUGCACAGGACAGCGUGC
rnacentral:misc_RNA from 1 species